AGUAUAAAGUCAGCUGACAUGAACAUAAUAAACACGUAACAAAAGAGGGAAUUUGAUCAUCUUAGACGUCGACGAUCUUUAAAAUACCAGGUUGGGAAAAGAAAGAAGAUUUGUAGCAUUAUAUUGAAGAUGCCUGAUUAAAAGCAUUAAUAUUUUGAA